GACGAACCGUGCGAACGUUGUUCGGAAUCACUGGGCUUAAAGGGCGCGUAGGCGGUUUGCCAAGUCAGGGGUGAAAUCCUGCAGCUCAACUGUAGAAGUGCCUUUGAUACUGGCGAACUCGAGGGAGGUAGGGGUCGCUGGAACUUCUGGUGGAGCGGUGAAAUGCGUUGAUAUCAGAAGGAACGCCGGUGGCGAAAGCGAGCGACUGGAUCUCUACUGACGCUGAGGCGCGAAAGCCAGGGGAGCAAACGGG
rnacentral:rRNA from 1 species